GCGGCCGUGACCCUGCUGGAGUGCGGGGGGGACCUCCAGCCCCCCGGGGGGUCCCUGACUCUGCUCUGCCGUGCCUCUGGAUAUGAUUUCGGGAGUUAUGCCUUGAUGUGGAUCCGUCAGAGCCCUGGGAAGGCGCUGGAAUGGGUAGCGGGGAUCAGCCGGAAAAGUGGCAACAUCUUCUACGCGUCAUCAGUCGAGGGCCGGUUCACGAUGGCGAGUGACAACGGGCAGAGCUCGGUGACGCUGACCAUGAACAACCUCAAGGACGAGGAUUCUGGUGUUUAUUUCUGUGUCAAAUCUAAUGGUAAUGGUUGUUGUGGUGGUGCUGCUGGUCGUUUUGGCGCAGCUUGUGGUCCCCAGUGCUCUCACUCCUCUCAUCCCUCUCUGAAAUCUCGAUUCACAUUUCAGUCCUGA